rnacentral:rRNA from 1 species
GAUCCUGGCUCAGAAUCAACGCUGGCGGCGUGCCUAACACAUGCAAGUACGAACGAGAAAGUGGAGCAAUCCAUGAGUAAAGUGGCGCACGGGUGAGUAACACGUGACUAACCUACCCAGGAGUGGGGAAUAACUGAGGGAAACCUUAGCUAAUACCGCAUAACACUCUACGGGUCAAAGGAGCAAUUCGCUUCUGGAGGGGGUCGCGGCCSAUUAGUUAGUUGGSGGGGUAAUGGCCCACCAAGACGAUGAUCGGUAUCCGGCCUGAGAGGGCGCACGGACACACUGGAACUGAAACACGGUCCAGACUCCUACGGGAGGCAGCAG